GCUAAUCCACUUUAACAGCUAAUCCACUUUAACAGCUAAUCCACUUUAACAUCCAUUCCAUUUUAACAGCUAAUCCACUUUAACAUCAAUUCCAUUUUAACAGCUAAUCCACUUUAACAUCCAUUCCAUUUUAACAGCUAAUCCACUUUAACAGCUAAUCCACUUUAACAUCCAUUCCAUUUUAACAGCUAAUCCACUUUAACAGCUAAUCCACUUUAACAGCUAAUCCACUUUAACAGCUAAUCCACUUUAACAUCCAUUCCAUUUUAACAGCUAAUCCACUUUAACAUCCAUUCCAUUUUAACAGCUAAUCCACUUUAACAUCCAUUCCAUUUUAACAGCUAAUCCACUUUAACAGCUAAUCCACUUUAACAGCUAAUCUACUUUAACAGCUAAUCCACUUUAACAGCUAAUCCACUUUAACAGCUAAUCUACUUUAACAGCUAAUCCACUUUAACAUCCAUUCCACCUCAACAGCUAAUCCACUUUAACAGCUAAUCCACCUUAACAACCAUUCCACUUUAAAAGCCAUUCCACCUUAACAGCCAUUCCACCUUAACAGCCAUUCCACCUUAACAGUCAAUAAAUGCUAAUGUCCUCUCCGUCAGCUGUCUGUCUGUCUGUCUCUUUGUGGAUAAGUGAGUUUAUAAUGAGAUGAAUAACAAUCUAAAUAUUGUGUUUAGUGGCUUCAAAGAGAUUCAAACCGAGUUCACUGAUACUGAGUUAAUGACAGGUAAACGCUCCUCUAUUCCUAAUUAUCCAGAAUCAAAAAGUCCACUAAAGUGUAUAAAUCAAAGUGGAUCAGGGAAGUUCUGAGUGAACAAUUCUUAAAAUAAAGCACAGUGAAAACUUAAUGGGCACAAUUUAGACUAUAUUUUAAUAUAUUCUGAGUAAAAACUGUCUUUUAAAAGUCAGAAUUGAUCUUUAGUAUCUCAGUAUCAGCUGGAGGUGAUGCGUCGCUUCAUGUUCAUUCAAACCUUUAAACAAUCUGUGAGUCUAUGAAUCUAUAAGAUCAGUAUUAUUUAAACGUGUUUCAGUAACAGCUGUAUCAGUGUUUGAGUGUCUUAUAAAAGAUAACCCACCGGGGAAAUAACCAUGAGUCGUUAGGAAUAACAGAUGAUGGUCAAAUAAGUUGGUGUUUGACUAUAUAAGAUAAUAUCUGGAAUAAAUGACCAUCAUUGUGUCAUCAAAAUACAGUUAAACCAACAUUUUGUAUAUUUCUUUAACUUUUAAAGUGCCCGUAUUAGUGAGCCUUAUUUAUAAUAAUAACUUUUAAAUAUUUAGUAAUUUAAUAUAUUACAUUUUAAUAUUUCUUAUGUCGUUCUACCUCAUGAUUUUAUUAAACAGUAUUGUUAUUAUUCCUAACGUUGCAUAUCUUUAUUUUCCUGAAUUUUUUAUCGCACUGAUUUUAUUUAUUUAAAAAUAUCUAAUUUAUGAGUUUUCUACUUUCUGAGACGGUGAUCCUGAGGGUUUUUAUCCGUCAUGUUUCUAACGUGUGACGCGUGUUUCUCCGUCUGUCAAUGUGUUAUAAAGUGAUUUCAGUGAAGUGCUUUUAUUUUGAAAGGGAGAACCACAGUAUGAUUAAACGGGGACCAAACUUAACAAAACCUUAAUGUUCAAAAGGACAAACGGUGAUCUGUCAUUGUUCUGAAAUAAAAUGUUAAAUUAAA